UUGGGAAAACCGGGACGUCACCGCUGCACAUGAUCACUUUCGAAACCGCCUCCUGAGAUCCCUAUCCCGAAAUAGCGGCCAGUACAGCGCCUUGGACUGGUAAAAAUACGCUGAAUCUACGCAGGGAAUCGCUUCAAUUUUCGAAGUAGUUUGGACAAGGAUUUUUACGUUUGUGUUAGCUGAAUUGGACACCGGAAUCGUUUUUGUGAUUUGGAAUAGAUUGAAUAGAAUCAUGGUUUCAAGAUGUAUGCGUUGACAUUAUCAGUGUUGUUGCUACAAGGGAUGAUUGGAAGAACAGUGACGACAACAAACACGGAUAACUUCCAGGAGCAAGACUUACAAGAAGCUGGAGCAGCUCCGGCAAAAAGCGUAUACUUGGAAGAAGGAAUUAUUCCAGAAGGGAGUUUGCUUUGUAUUUUGGUUCGAUACACCCUGCUACUGUUGGUACUAUUUGUUGUUUGGAUUUGGUCGAAUAUAAAAAAACGUUGGAAUCCCAAACCAGAGAGGUGUCUUUGCAGUAAAGUUGAUUGUUCAAGACAACCGGUGGAGGCACAUGAAGACGAAGAUAACUACGAAGAUAGUAAACCAUCAUUACGAAUCCCAAACUUUCAACGGCCAAACGUAGCGGAUCAAUUCUUCCACGUGGUAGUGGGUGGCCCUGAAUAUUUCGCGAAAAGCGAAUUCUUCGUGAACGACAAGGACACUAAAAAAAGACACAAAAAGAGACUCAGCUGU